GUGAGUAGUUCAGAGUUUGAUCCUGGCUCAGGACGAACGCUGGCGGCGUGCUUAACACAUGCAAGUCGAACGGGGAUCAUGUUGGAAGGGCUUCGGUCCGGAAGAUAUGAUUCUAGUGGCGGACGGGUGAGUAACGCGUGAGCAAUCUGUCCCAUCCAGGGGGAUAACACAUGGAAACAGGUGCUAAUACCGCAUAAGACCACGGCAUCGCAUGGUGCUGGGGUAAAAGGCGCAAGCCGGGAUGGGGUGAGCUCGCGUCCGAUUAGAUAGUUGGCGGGGUAACGGCCCACCAAGUCGACGAUCGGUAGCCGAUCUGAGAGGAUGACCGGCCACAUUGGAACUGAGAGACGGUCCAA
rnacentral:rRNA from 1 species